CCUACGGGGGGCAGCAGUGAGGAAUAUUGGUCAAUGGGCGUAAGCCUGAACCAGCCACGUCGCGUGAGGGAUGAAGGUUCUAUGGAUCGUAAACCUCUUUUAUAAGGAGAUAAAGUGUGGGACGUAUCCUAUUUUGUAUGUACCUUAUCAAUACGGAUCGGCUAACUCCGUGCCGGCAGCGGGGGUAAUCCGGAGGGUCCAAGCGUUAUCCGGAUUUACUGGGUUUAACGGGUGCGUAGGCGGCUUUUUAAGUCAGAGGGGAAAGCCUAGGGCUCAACCAUAGAAUUGCGGUGGAAACUGGGGGGCUUGAGUAUCUUAGAGGCAGGCGGAAUGCGUGGUGGAGCGGUGAAAUGCGUAGAUAUCAGGCAGAACCCCGAUUGCGAAGGCGGCC
rnacentral:rRNA from 1 species